GUUAAAACGCCCGUAGUUGGAUCAGCGGAUUUGGAGAACGGUCUGCCGAUGGGCUGUACUGUUCUCCUGUCCUAUUUUCUCUAGUUCGCUCUAGGUGCUCUUCACUGAGUGUCUAGAGUGGCUGGAACUUUUACUUUGAAAAAAUUAGAGUGCUCAAAGCAGGCGUCUCAGCCUGAAUAGUGGUGCAUGGAAUAAUGGAAUAGGACCUCAGUUCUAUUUUGUUGGUUUUCGGAACAUGAGGUAAUGAUUAAGAGGGACAGACGGGGGCAUUCGUAUUGCGACGUUAGAGGUGAAAUUCUUGGAUCGUCGCAAGACGAACUACUGCGAAAGCAUUUGCCAAGAAUGUUUUCAUUAAUCAAGGACGAUAGUUAGAGGUUCGAAGGCGAUCAGAUACCGCCCUAGUUCUAACCGUAAACGAUGUCAACCAGCGAUCCGCAGGAGUUAUUCAUGACUCUGCGGGCAGCUUCCGGGAAACCAAAGUUUUUGGAUUCCGGGGGAGUAUGGUUGCAAGGCUGAAACUUAAAGGAAUUGACGGAAGGGCACCACCAGGAGUGGACCUGCGGCUUAAUUUGACUCAACGCGGGGAAACUCACCCGGCCCGGACACCGUAAGGAUUGACAGAUUGAGAGCUCUUUCUUGAUUCGGUGGGUGGUGGUGCAUGGCCGUUCUUAGUUGGUGGAGCGAUUUGUCUGGUUAAUUCCGAUAACGAACGAGACUCUAGCCAACUAAAUAGAAGGCAAAUUAUUCGUUUGCUGUACUUCUU
rnacentral:rRNA from 1 species